ensembl:lncRNA
CCGAUGAAUAUUCAAAAUGACUGCAGUGUACAAAAUACCAUGAAAACACAAAACCAUGUGCUGUCUGGAAGAAAGCAGUUGAAGCAACAGACAUCUACUGGGCACUGUCCCAGGUGGUAUUUUUAAGAAUCCAGUUCCACUGGAGUUCCUCAUUUUAUAGCUUAUAUGCCAUUUUAAUGCAUCUCAUGAAGUUCAUUGAAAAUUAAUAUUUAACUCCUUUCUAUGGAAGCUUAAGAGACCACUGAUCUGGGUACAGAUGAGCUGCAUGAAAGAAGGAUAAAUUUAAAGUUAGUUGGCAGAAUAUUUCUACCAAUAUGGUCAUGGAUAUUUUCUACUGAUUUCCACCAAGGAAGAUGAAGAUUUAGCUCUCUGGACUCCCCAUGUCUUGUUCCCCUUUACAAGCAUGUACAAACUCUCACAGAUGAGUAUACUAUGAUCGUAUAAUUUGGUUGUAUUUCUUCUUUUCUUGUGUUUUAGUUUUCUUGGAAUUGCCUUACUUUUUGGUUGCAUAGUCUUCCAUUUACUUAUUCAUGUAUUAAUUCAUCGCCCCAGAUCUCAGUCAGAGUUGUCAAACUCCUUUCAAUAGUUU